CCUACGGGAGGCAGCAGUGAGGAAUCUUCCGCAAUGGACGAAAGUCUGACGGAGCGACACCGCGUGAAGGAUGAAGGUUUUGUUAUUGUAAACUUCUUUUCUCAGGGACGAUAAUGACGGUACCUGAGGAAUAAGGGACGGCUAACUAUGUGCCAGCAGCCGCGGUAAUACAUAGGUCCCAAGCGUUAUCCGGAAUUACUGGGCGUAAAGCGUCUGCAGGUGGAAAAGUGUGUGAGACGUGAAAGACCGGGGCUCAACCCCGUGUUUGUGUUUCAAACUGCUUUUCUCGAGUGAGCAAGAGGUAUGCGGAAUUUAUGGAGUAGGAGUGCAAUCCGUUGACACCAUAAAGAACACCAAAAGCGAAGGCAGCAUACUGGGGCUCUACUGACACUCAGAGACGAAAGCGUGGGGAGCGAAAGGGAUUAGAUACCCCUGUAGUCCACGCCCUAAACUAUGAUGACUAGGUGUUGGUCCUUCGGGAUCAGUGCCGUAGCUAACGCGUUAAGUCAUCCGCCUGAGUAGUACGACCGCAAGGUUAAAACUCAAAUGAAUUGACGG
rnacentral:rRNA from 1 species